rnacentral:rRNA from 1 species
GGCAGACGGGUGAGUAACGCGUGGGAACGUACCCUUUGGUUCGGAAUAACCCAGGAAACUUGGGCUAAUACCGGAUGCGCCGGAAACGGGAAAGGUUUACCGCCGAAGGAUCGGCCCGCGUCUGAUUAGCUAGUUGGUAGGGUAAUGGCCUACCAAGGCGACGAUCAGUAGCUGGUCUGAGAGGAUGAUCAGCCACACUGGGACUGAGACACGGCCCAGACUCCUACGGGAGGCAGCAGUGGGGAAUAUUGGACAAUGGGCGCAAGCCUGAUCCAGCCAUGCCGCGUGAGUGAUGAAGGCCCUAGGGUUGUAAAGCUCUUUUGUCCGGGAAGAUAAUGACUGUACCGGAAGAAUAAGCCCCGGCUAACUUCGUGCCAGCCGCCGCGG